CCGCGGUGAACCUCUGAGCCCGGAAACCGGCCUUCUCCCGGGCCCGGGAACCCCUCCCGCGCAUGCGCGUGCGCACGCAGGCCAGGGCGCCGCCGGCGCAAACUCUGCCCUCGCCCUGAACCUGGCGAGCGAGCGGCGCUGCUCCUGGUUCCCUGCCAGGGCCCCGCGGGCGCGGGCUCCGCCUCCCACAGCUGAGUCUGGGCUGGCCCCUUCUCCCACGCCAGCUUGCCAGCUCGGCCUUCGUCAUCUGCGUGAAGAGAGCAGCACAGGGUCAGUGAUUCCCACCACCGCGCGGGGGGGAUCGCAGGCUGAGCCCAGCCGGGCAGACCCUAUCUCAGCCAGAAAGAGGGAGGGGAGGUGGCGCACGCCUGUCAUCCCAGCACUCGGGAGGCUGAGGCAGGGGGAUCGCUGUGAGUUACAAAACAAAAGGCCAGGGCUGCAGUCAGUGCCAAAGCCCUGGGCUCAAGCCGCAGUCCUGCACAACAGUGAUGAUUGUCAUGGUUCCUGGGAGCUGAAGCAUCAGGGCCGUUAGCAGGAGCAGAGGCAGCGCUGCAGCCUGGGAGAUGAGAUAAGCCCCGGCCCAGGCUGUGAUCCCCACGCACCUCGGGGACCCUGCAGCCAUUGGCAGCACCUUGCUCUCGGCCCUGGUUCCCAGACUUGCACCUUGGCAGCUCCAAGGGCUCCACCUGAGUGGCGAGGCCUGGGAUCCCGGAUCCCCAACAGGUUCCCGGAUGAUCCUGCAGCUCCCACCUGGGGGCCUCUGGCCCGGCUGUUUUGAGAACCACUGCACUAAACUGAGAACGAGGUCUUCAGAAUUCCCACUCGGAAUCAGCGUGGUGGCCUACACCUGUCAUCCCAGCACUCAGGAGGCUGAGCCAGGAGAAUCACUGGGAGUUUGAGGCCAGCCUGGGCUACCCAGCAAGACCCUCUCUCAAAAGAAAACAAACACCCCCAAAAGCAAAGUUCCCACUCCCCAAGGCACCAUGUCCAGGUCUCUCCAACCUCAUUCCUUCCAGCCCCUCCAACCAUUGCUGAGGUUUUCUUGACCCUCCCUCCCCAGUCCCUGCUCUGGGCAGGAGCUGCCUGUUUCCAGCUCUCCCUAGCUUUCUAUUUGUCCAGAGCCCAGAUUCAUUUCUUCAGUUUUCUCCUUGCUCUGGGCAGAUCUACGGGCUGCUUGCAGGAGCUGAGCACCCCAGCACGGGGCAGAGGCCUGGGCUCGGGCAUCACAGGCCCAGCCGCCCUUACUGUGCCACACGCACGCACAGCCUUCGCCGCUCCAUCCUGGGCGCCAGCUCCUUGCUGGCUUCCCAUCCCCAUGCCUUUCCCUCUCUGGGUUUCCCGGCUGAUGCUUGGUUGGCGCUGUCUGUGUUUCAGGAGAUAACCUGCAGCCCUGUUCUUUUUGAGGUCCAUUUUGGGAAACAGGCAAGGGGCCGUGGGACAAGCAGGAGUCUGGGCUGGAGCAACGUCUUCCAGUCGGGGUGGGAGGGGCAGCCGAGCCGCUGGCUGGCAGGAAGACCCCAAGGGACAAUCACACCGGCCUUGUGCAGGUGACUAAGGCCAGG
ensembl:lncRNA